rnacentral:rRNA from 1 species
CAACGCUGGCGGCGUGCCUCAGACAUGCAAGUCGAACGCGAAAGUCCCCUUCGGGGGAUAAGUAGAGUGGCGUCCGGGUGAGUAACACGUAGGUAAUCUACCUUCGGGUGGGGAAUAACCCAGGGAAACUUGGGCUAAUACCGCAUAAUGCAGCGGCACCACAUGGUGACAGUUGUUAAAGCGGGGGAUCUUCGGAUCUCGCGCCUGAAGAGGAGCCUGCGGCAGAUUAGCUAGUUGGUAAGGUAAUGGCUUACCAAGGCGACGAUCUGUAGCCGGCCUGAGAGGGCGGUCGGCCACACUGACACUGACAUACGGGUCAGACUCCUACGGGAGGCAGCAGUCGGGAAUUUUGGGCAAUGGGCGAAAGCCUGACCCAGCAACGCCGCGUGAAGGAUGAAAUCCCUCGGGAUGUAAACUUCGCAAGAAUGGGAAGAAUUAGUAGGGGUUAAUACCCCCUAUGAUGACGGUACCAUUUGUAAGCUCCGGCUAACUCCGUGCCAGCAGCCGCGGUAAUACGGGGGGAGCAAGCGUUGUUCGGAUUUACUGGGCGUAAAGGGCGCGUAGGCGGUCAGCACAAGUCAGUUGUGAAAUCUCCGGGCUUAACUCGGAAAGGUCAACUGAUACUGUGCGACUAGAGUGCGGAAGGGGCAACUGGAAUUCUCGGUGUAGCGGUGAAAUGCGUAGAUAUCGAGAGGAACACCUGCGGCGAAGGCGGGUUGCUGGGCCGACACUGACGCUGAUGCGCGAAAGCCAGGGGAGCGAACGGGAUUAGAUACCCCGGUAGUCCUGGCCUUAAACGAUGGAUGCUUGGUGUCUGGAGUUUUAUAGUCUCCGGGUGCCGCAGCUAACGCGUUAAGCAUCCCGCCUGGGGAGUACGGUCGCAAGACUGAAACUC